UGUGGCUUUUCCAUGUUCGCGAGGGAUUCGCCAAUCCGCUCCGCCCGCGCCCCACGCUCGGCUCGACCUGCAGAACAACCAGAAGGGUCAAACCCUAGCCGCCAAACCUUCUCGUCCCGAGCCCCGCGUCCCCUUCGCCUCGUCUCCUCCCCGCUCCAUCCUCUCCCACGCCGCCGCCCCCUCUCCCCGCUUGCCUCAGCCGCCUCCUCUCCUCCCCGUGCCGCCGCCCCCCUCCUUUCUCCCUGUGCCGCCGGCCACCUCCAUUCUCCCCGUGCUGGAGCAGAGAUGCCUCAGUAGGGGCAGAACACCGGGGCUUUAUCUCCCCUUGUCUAGCACCGGCCAGUGAACAAGACGGAGGGUAGCCAAGGGCGCCUCAAACAGCGGCUGCUCUUCUCCGGCUUGGACCAGAACCCUGGCGUCUGGGUAAGUGCAGAGGAGCGAGCAAAGCAGAUGGUGCAGCCGGCCUCCUCCUCUCUCUCCCUCCCCUUGCUCUCACUCGCUUCAGCACCCUCCUCGCUGUUGGCUGCAUACCCAGAUAAUUGAUGAAAAAUCUUUGAUAAAGAAAUAUCGGCGUCGUCUCAUCGUCUUCAUCGAUACGAGCAUCUCUAUCGGACCACGCGUCCAUGCCUCCCCAUCUACCGUGCUGGAGUAGCCGCCUCCUGGUUGAGGUAUCGCACUGCCACCGCUGCCGCUGCCUGGGUCCCUCCUCUUGCUCCUGCCGAGGUCACAUGUUCGUCGAGGCAUCAAGACACCUCGGUUUUCGUUUCUUUUUUCCUAUUUCUGUUCUUCCACUUGUUUCUUCUUCCUGGACCUCCCUGUCCGCUGAAAUUGCAGGCUGAGGUGAGCACCAUGAGGAAGAGGAUGUCAGUGGCUGAUAUAGAGAGCUCCUCGACCGGGGAAGUUGCAGUUCUGGAGGAACUCGAAGAUGUCAUUUUUCAGUUUUGAUGGGAAUCACUACAAAUAGUUAUGGUCAUGAAUGUAAGAGUUUUCUGAAUUUUACCUCUCAUUUACAAUUUUGAUGGGAAUUGCUACAACAACAAUUAGAAGAAACUGCAUUGCAGGUUCAGAACCAAUUUCUAGGGGAUUAUGGCAAGGAGCAGUGGUCGUUCGGGUUCUGGGGGAACGACAUGCACAGGUUAACCCCGCAAUUCAGAAAUUCAGUCUUCGUAUUGACAUCCGAGACGAAGAGAAGUGCUGCAGAGACGCGUUUUAUUUCAAAGUUACGAUACUUAUAAAGUAAGCCAUGCUUUGUCAACCGAAUAUGUGUAUGUAUGUAUAUGCAAUAAAGGCGAAGAACAGAGUCUUUACUUCUCUUCCAACGGAUCUCCUAGCGAAAUGAAGAUAUGGAUAGGUGCUACUGAAGUAGCCAACAUAUACUUAGUAUGGAGGAGAGCGCGUGGGUGUACAUAAUAGGGAAGCAAGUGAGAUCCCAAGAAAAUACGCAUACAAGUAUAUCGCAAGUUUAAUGCUAUAUUAUUCUUAAAUGAAAAUUACACUAGGUUGACUUUUAAUAUACAUGGAGCAUCCUUUUUUCAACAGUCUAAUUACUCCAUGUAAUUACUGCAUCCAUUUUGGUAUGUGAUACUGCAAGUGUAAAUUCAGGAAAAAAACUAUGUUGUUUAGUGUGAGCUGCAAAUUUAGUUUUUGUUGGUGGAUUUCCUCAACCAUAUUUUCGCUGCAUAGAGUGGACUUGGUAGGAGUCUAUUAUUCAGCUCUGUUCUAUGUUUGGAGAGCACUCUCUCUUUUUCCCUUUUGUAGGAAAAUAUUUUAUAGAGAACUCUGCACUAACCCAUGAUUAGUAACUGUGAUAUAUGAUGAUUAUCCAAUGACAAAACUGUUAGAGAAACCUUCAUUUUGAAAAGGAAUCAUGACCUAAGGUCUUUUUAUACAUUUGUCUGGCUAAUUUCACACACACACACACACACACACACACAUAUAAUUUUUACAUUCCAUCUUCUAUUUCAAGUAAAUCCUUGCCCAACAUGCUAUUUACCACAUAUACGUACUUUAGCCUGCACAAUUGACGGACCUGCUACAGUUCAGUAGGAAAUUUCAGGGAUGGACCAAGGAAAAAAGAUGCUGAUGGAGUGCCCUGUAUUGCUACCUGAUUUUUGGUGAACUUUCAAAUUAGUUCUGCGCUGUCCUUCAACAACUGCUUUGUAUAAUCCAGAAGAAUUGGUAUCUGCACAGGCAAUUGGUAGCGCGGUGCGCUUGCUUAGGCCAUCUAACAUAUGGGCAGAGAUAGAGUUUAGGCACCCGGAUAAGGGGAUAUAGAGAUUGUAGGCCAAUAUCUCAUUAGCUGUACAAUAUGAAAUAACUUAAGUGGCAAUAUCAAAUGUUCUUCUCUUUUCAUAGACAAAAGGGAUAAUGUGUUUUACUAUAUAUAUAAAUUGACAUGCCAUAGAUAUUUAUGGUACGAUGCCUUUCCCACACAUUCAAUGGACAGUCCACUUCCAUAUUUAUGUCUUCUUACACCCAGAAUAUGUCUCUCUUUUAAGUAUUGACUGAAACAUUAGCAAUAAAAUUAUUAGAAGAGUUUAUUCUUGCCUACAUCGAAGCACUAUAAUGUCUACCAUUCAGUUACAGUUUAAAGUUCAUAUAUCGUAAUAGUAUUAUAGGCUGUUUUUAUAUUUUUAUCAAUUGAUGCUUUCUUAUUAGAUUUUUUUCAAGCCGGCUUCCUUCUCAACAUCCUAUACUAAUAUAGGUUAUUGGAUAAAGUUCUGUACUGAUAGUACAAAACUUUGUGGUCGCCCAGGCUAUUCAGCCUUUAAUCAUAUUUAACAUCGUCAGGUAAGUAACGAUGUCAUGAUCAGAAGUCAUUGGCUAUGUGCUAUAUAUAUGCGCAUAAUUUCAUAAACUACAUUGUGCAUGCGAUUGUUUUCAGGAACAAUAGAUUUUCUUAAUUUUUUAACUCAAUGUGAAAAUGAACAUUGAUGUUUUUUGUCCCUCGAAGGAGACGAGGUUUAAUAUUUGCUUACAUGACCAGGAACAUUAGGAGAUGUUCAAAUGAGUUGUGAAAGAAGAAGAGUUAUUUGCAAAGAUGGUAGCUUUCUUUUCUGUACAAAGAUGAUGGCUAUACCCACAAUAUUGCUCUUGUUACCUUCUUUUGAUGUAGACCUUAGCUCAUUUUCUUAGCAACAAAAAUUCUGAAUUUAUUGCGCGCACAUGCUUAUUUGGCCAAUCAGGAUAAUAAUAAUUUUGCGGUUUUGUACAAGUUUUACCAGUUUAUUGUUUUCAAAAUUAGAAUCUUGCUGAUUAACCUAUCUGCAUUUUGUAGUAAAGUAGCUACCUACACGAGGUAGGUCCAUUAACUCUUUUGUAGAACCAGAUUGUUGAUAUUUCCUCAGAAGUAAAAAUGUUACCUUUUCCUUUACUCGCUUACUUGAAACCAGACUAUUAGGUACCCACCUUCCAAGAUAUAUAAACAACCAAAAGUAUCACGUCAGGCUAUUCUUUGGUUGUUGAUCAAACAACCAACACUCUGGUGUAUAGGGUCUCUGGAUAAACAAGCUCGAGGAGGCCGUUGUUUGGUGCAGCCCACGACAACAACUACACCAUUGACCACUGAAGCAAGGUCCUUAUAUGGUCACUGAAGAAAUCAUCUUUCCUCCAACCGAAUGGCACUUUUCUUGAAUCUUAGUUGGUGUCUGUUGUAAUUUACCAUCAUCCCUAAGACAAACUUGAUUCUGUGUUGCCGUUCUUUAUCUCUAUUGUUUAAUCCAAAUUACUACUGUGACAUGAUAACAUAUAUGAUGCAAUGGACAAUAUUCCUAAGAACUGCACGGACACAGUGCUUUAUCA